rnacentral:tRNA from 3 species
GCGGGUUUAGCUCAGUUGGGAGAGCGUCAGACUGAAGCUCCAACUUCAAUCACUAUCAUUCGAUAUCUGAAGGUCGUGUGUUCGAUCCACACAAACCGCA